rnacentral:rRNA from 1 species
UCUCCUACGGGACGCAGCAGUGAGGAAUAUUGGUCAAUGGGCGCAAGCCUGAACCAGCCAAGUCGCGUGAGGGAAGACGGCCCUACGGGUUGUAAACCUCUUUUGCCGGGGAGCAAGCCUGAGCACGUGUGCCCAGGCGGAGAGUACCCGGAGAAAAAGCAUCGGCUAACUCCGUGCCAGCAGCCGCGGUAAUACGGAGGAUGCGAGCGUUAUCCGUAUGUAUUGGGUUUAAAGGGAGCGCAGGCGGGCUGUUAAGCCGGCGGUAAUAAUUCA